GCAGGCUGCAACCCGCCUGCAUGAAGCCGGAAUCGCUAGUAAUCGCGGAUCAGAAUGCCGCGGUGAAUACGUUCCCGGGUCUUGUACACACCGCCCGUCACACCAUGGGAGUCGGGAAUGCCCGAAGUCAGUGGCCCAACCGGAAGGGGGGAGCUGCCGAAGGCAGGCCCGGUGACUGGGGUGAAGUCGUAACAAGGUAAC
rnacentral:rRNA from 1 species